rnacentral:misc_RNA from 1 species
UAUUCAUGCAUGACCCAAUUGGUUUUCUCUCCUUUAGGAGCUCUUCCUCUGUAGAAAACAAGGGUCUUUUUCAUCCCAACAAGGCAGUUUUUUCCCUUGUAAAUCUCCUUAUCUUUUCCGGUCGCCUUCCAAUAGCCGGCCUCUGUAGCUCGAUUAGUUCUCAUACCAGUUGGAUACUUCCGAUCUCUCUGGCAAAAGAAGUACCAUUCUUUCUCUCCCAUCUUUGCUUUAUUGGGCAAAUCCCACGGUUCACACUUAUUAAGAUCAACUUCACCAAUAGCACAUGCACUGAAACAGCUAUUCAUCACCUUCUGUGUAAGAUAAUGAGUUAUGAUCUCUUCAUCAGUGGGAUGGAACCGAAAACCAGGAGGUAGAUCGAUAAGAUCUUCUCCUUUGUUCACCACAACAGCACCUUCCAUUAACAUCACAAGAUCAACCAACACCUCUACAAGAACCUAUAAAUAUAUGCACAAAGAAAGAAAGAAAGAAAGAAGAAAACAGCAAGCAGCUGGUAUGGAGGAGGAGAUUUCAAAGAGAGAAC